UACAGAGGUCUCAAGCGUUGUUCGGAUUCAUUGGGCGUAAAGGGUGCGUAGGCGGCGCGGUAAGUCGGGUGUGAAAUUUCGGGGCUUAACUCCGAAACUGCAUUCGAUACUGCCGUGCUUGAGGACUGGAGAGGAGACUGGAAUUUACGGUGUAGCGGUGAAAUGCGUAGAUAUCGUAAGGAAGACCAGUGGCGAAGGCGGGUCUCUGGACAGUUCCUGACGCUGAGGCACGAAGGCCAGGGGAGCAAACGGG
rnacentral:rRNA from 1 species